GAUGGCUCCCACGUCCAAGGGAUGCAGCAGGCGCGAAAAUUGUCCACUCUUUUGAGAGGAGACAGUUAUGAAACGUGAGUAGAAGGGUCGAGUGUAAAAACCUUGACGUGAAGCAAUUGGAGGGCAAGUUUUGGUGCCAGCAGCCGCGGUAAUUCCAACUCCAAGAGUGUCUAUGGUGGAUGCUGCAGUUAAAGGGUCCGUAGUCGUAGAUGCAAUUAAAAGGUGGUGUUAAAAGCCAUUGAGUUUGUUGAGAGUAGCGGAACGGAUAGGGAGCAUGGUAUAGGUGGGCAAAGAAUGAAAUCUCAAGACCCCACCUGGACCAACGGAGGCGAAAGCGAUGCUCUUAGACGUAUCUGGGGAUCAAGGACGAAGGCUAGAGUAUCGAAAGUGAUUAGACACCGCUGUAGUUCUAGCAGUAAACUAUGCCGACAAUGCUGGGUGUUGCGAGAGCGAUGCUUGGUGUGGGAGAAAUCUUAGUUUUCGGGCUCUGGGGAUAGUACGCUCGCAAGGGUGAAACUUAAAGCGAAAUUGACGGAAGGACACUACCAGGAGUGGAUUGUGCUGCUUAAUUUAACUCAACGCGGGAAAACUUACCAGGGUCAAGUCUAUCGUAGAUUGGAGACAUGAGGUAGACAAGAGUGGUGCAUGGCCGUUGGAAAUUGAUGGGGCGACUUUUAGCUUAAGUGCUGGAACCAGUGAGAUCUUCUAGACAGGUGUUAUUUAGGCACAGGAGGGAGAAGGCAAUAACAGGUCCGUGAUGCCCUUAGAUAUCCUGGGCAGCAAGCGCAAUACAAUAUCUCUUGAGAAGACAAAGCAAUUUGAGAUGAGUAGGAUUAGCUUUUGUAAAUAAGCUAUGAAUGAGGAAUUCCUAGUAACAGUGUCUCAUCAAGGCAUUGUGAAUGUGUCCCUGUUC
rnacentral:rRNA from 1 species